GACGAACGCUGGCGGCGUGCUUAACACAUGCAAGUCGAACGGAAAGGCCUGCUUUCCCUUGUGUCUUGCGGGUACUCGAGUGGCGAACGGGUGAGUAACACGUGAGUGAUCUGCCCCCAACUUGGGUAUAAGCCUGGGAAACUACGUCUAAUUACCGAUAGGACUGCAGGGUGGUGCCUGUGGUGGCAAACGAUUUUCUAGUGGUUGCGGCUGAGCCGGCGGUCUAUCAGCUUGUUGGUGGGGUAAUGGUCUACCAAGCCGGCGACGGCUAGCCGGUCUGGGAGGGGGUACAUGCAGUGUGGAACAGCGAGACGGGGCAGAAGAUUGCGGCAGGCAGCCGAGGGGAAUAUUGACUGCUGAGUAGAAGACAGAAGCAGCGAGCCCGCGUCAGGGAUGACGGCCUUGGGGUUGUAAACUCCUUGCGACCGCGAGGAAUCCACCUGGUUGAAAGGGUAGUGACGGUAGUGGUAGAAGAAGCACCGGCUAACUACGUG
rnacentral:rRNA from 1 species